GCCUCGCGCUGUCAUCGAACUCCCCGCCGGCGCCAAAAUAUUAAGCGCGUAAACAUUAGCAGCUGACAAGAAGACCUUUCCCGCUUAAAUCACCAUAACUAUUCCCGUGAUUCCGGAUGAAGUAGGACAUAACGACAUCGUGAGACGGACUUAAAGCCUUCAGUAUUAACGAAGUAACUGCAGAAGACGUGCAUAAACUGUUAAUUUGUGAAAUCUCUCACCUUCAGUUUAACGACGGUUGGCAUCCAGCUUAUUGGUGCAUUACCGCCCCCUUAUGCUCCGGAUUGUGGAUCAGAUAAUAGCACAAACCAGUCUACCUCAGGCCAUGUGAUCUUCCAAGGGGCAAUCUCUGGAAAAACUACUGUAGGGCUUAGCAAGUGCUCUGGCUCUGAUGUUUGUCUUCUCUCUCAACCAACUUGUUCAGGUGCAUACCGCCACCUACGGUACCGGGGUGUGCAACUUCAGGGCUUCAUGUACUUCACAUAGUUAUAAUUAUAAAAAUAAAAACACACACACACACCUAUAUACUGUGCUGUAACCCUGUAUCUUUAAGA